GAUGAAGAACGCAGCGAAAUGCGAUAAGUAAUGUGAAUUGCAGAAUUCAGUGAAUCAUCGAAUCUUUGAACGCACAUUGCGCCCGCUAGUAUUCUGGCGGGCAUGCCUGUCCGAGCGUCAUUUCAACCCUCAAGCCCCCGGGCUUGGUGUUGGGGAUCGGCGAGCCUCCGCGCCCGCCGUCCCCUAAAUCUAGUGGCGGUCUCGCUGUAGCUUCCUCUGCGUAGUAGCACACCUCGCACUGGGAAACAGCGCGGCCACGCCGUUAAACCCCCAACUUCUGAACGUUUGACCUCGGAUCAGGUAGGAAUACCCGCUGAACUUAGGCAUAUCAAUAAGCGGAGGA
rnacentral:misc_RNA from 1 species